CGUGUAAAGAACAUGUAAGGUAAUUAUAGAGACUGCAAGGUAUUUGUAGUAACAUCUAGAGACAUAUAAUUACAUCUAAUCACUGUAAAUUUUCUUUGUUGCUGCAGCCUCAGGAUGAAACAGCGUAGAAAGACAUCAAAGAGGCUGCAUUAGGAUUAGUACGGGGAACUAUUUUAACUUCAAGAAGAUUAGUGGUUAUAAAUUACAUUGGAGUGAACGAAAGGUUCCAGUGACGUUAGAGGUCUCAGAUUAUCCUAGGGGAUUUGUUGUUGUCUGUGGUGGUU